rnacentral:rRNA from 1 species
GAUGAACGCUAGCUACAGGCUUAACACAUGCAAGUCGAGGGGAAACGCUGAGAGAGCUUGCUCUCUUAGGCGUCGACCGGCGCACGGGUGAGUAACGCGUAUCCAACCUACCCAUUACAGGGGGAUAACCUUGCGAAAGUAAGACUAAUACCCCAUGGCAUUUUAUGGUGGCAUCAUUAUAGGAUUAAAGAUUUAUUGGUAAUGGAUGGGGAUGCGUCUGAUUAGCUUGUUGGCGGGGUAACGGCCCACCAAGGCAACGAUCAGUAGGGGUUCUGAGAGGAAGGUCCCCCACAUUGGAACUGAGACACGGUCCAAACUCCUACGGGAGGCAGCAGUGAGGAAUAUUGGUCAAUGGGCGAGAGCUUGAACCAGCCAAGUAGCGUGCAGGAUGACGGCCCUAUGGGUUGUAAACUGCUUUUAUAGGGGAAUAAAGUGAGCUACGUGUAGUUUAUUGCAUGUACCCUAUGAAUAAGGACCGGCUAAUUCCGUG